UACGUAGGGUGCGAGCGUUGUCCGGAAUUAUUGGGCGUAAAGGGCUCGUAGGCGGUUCGUCGCGUCGGGAGUGAAAACCUCGGGCUUAACUCGGGGCUUGCUUUCGAUACGGGCAGACUGGAGGUAUGCAGGGGAGAACGGAAUUCCUGGUGUAGCGGUGAAAUGCGCAGAUAUCAGGAGGAACACCGGUGGCGAAGGCGGUUCUCUGGGCAUUACCUGACGCUGAGGAGCGAAAGUGUGGGGAGCGAACAGG
rnacentral:rRNA from 1 species